rnacentral:rRNA from 1 species
ACAGAGGGUGCAAGCGUUGUUCGGAAUUAUUGGGCGUAAAGCGCGUGUAGGCGGCUUGGCAAGUCGGGUGUGAAAUCCCUCAGCUUAACUGAGGAAGUGCGCCCGAAACUGCCGAGCUUGAGUACCGGAGAGGGUGGCGGAAUUCCCCAAGUAGAGGUGAAAUUCGUAGAUAUGGGGAGGAACACCAGUGGCGAAGGCGGCUCACUGGCCCGUAACUGACGCUGAGGCGCGAAAGCGUGGGGAGCAAACAGGA